GAUGAACGCUAGCGGGAGGCCUAACACAUGCAAGCCGAGCGGUAUUGUUUCUUCGGAAAUGAGAGAGCGGCGUACGGGUGCGUAACACGUGUGCAACCUGCCUUUAUCUGGGGGAUAGCCUUUCGAAAGGAAGAUUAAUACUCCAUAAUAUAUUGAACGGCAUCGUUUAAUAUUGAAAGCUCCGGCGGAUAGAGAUGGGCACGGGCAAGAUUAGCUAGUUGGUUAGGUAACGGCUCACCAAGGCGAUGAUCUUUAGGGGGCCUGAGAGGGUGAUCCCCCACACUGGUACUGCGACACGGACCAGACUCCUACGGGAGGCAGCAGUGAGGAAUAUUGGUCAAUGGGUGCAAGCCUGAACCAGCCAUCCCGCGUGAAGGACGACUGCCGUAGGGGUUGUAAACUUCUUUUGUAUAGGGAUAAACCUACCCUCGAGAGGGUAGCUGAAGGUACUAUACGAAUAAGCGCCGGCUAACUCCGUG
rnacentral:rRNA from 1 species